rnacentral:rRNA from 1 species
AACCCUAGUCAAUAGACCUACGGCGUAAAGCGUGUUUAAGGAACUUCCCUAUAAAGUCAAACCUUAGCUAUGCUGUAAAAAGCUACAGCUACCGUAAGCCCUAAUACGAAAGUAACUUUAAAAUGCCUGAAUACACGACAGCUAAGACCCAAACUGGGAUUAGAUACCCCACUAUGCUUAGCCCUAAACUUAAAGAGCCCUUACAACAAGGCUCUUCGCCAGAGUACUACUAGCCAAAGCUUAAAACUCAAGGGACUUGGCGGUGCUUUAUAUCCCUCUAGAGGAGCCUGUUCUAUAAUCGAUAAACCCCGAUAAACCUCACCAACCCUUGCCAAAC